rnacentral:lncRNA from 1 species
ACCAAAGUGUUUAGAGUUAAACUAGAAUAAAUUCUAUUCAUACAUGUUGUCAUACACAGUCUGUUUAUGUAUAGUUUAAAUAGUCUGUAUCCGCAGCAGAUGAGAAAGAUGCACCCAAACAAAGUAAACUAAACAGUAUUUGCAUGCUUUUGUUGGCAUGUGGCCUAGCAAGAUUGAGUUUACGUAUUAGAGAAUAAUUCAUUAUCUUCUCACUGGUGUAUUUGUUUCUUUAAUUGUAUGAUUCAAAUUUAGCCCAUUAGUGGCCCAAACAGGUGAUAUUGUGCAUCUGGUUGCUCCAUCGUGUAGUCAUCUUUCGAUGUCCGGAUGCAAUAGACUAUCAUUAGUGAUUACGUCAGUCAUGUCACAAAUCUCACCACCGUUCCCUUCAUGAGUGUCGUGUGCCCCUCGAUGAGGGCACAAACAGCUUCCUAGUACUAGGUGAUUGCACGUACGGUGAGGUACCAACUGCACCUAAGUGGAUGACUGCAGGUGCAAAGAUGUGUGCUGAUGGGCAUGGAAUCGGAGGGUGGAGAAGUGGAGGACAUGCACACAAUUUGAGGUCAUCGAGCAACAACAAAGGGUAGUGGAUAUAUAUGUUACAUUGAGUCAGGGUGUAUAUACUUACGAGACAAUGACCUCGUAGCUAUUAAUCAAGAUCACCACCUAAGAGUUUAAGACAAACUUGUCAUACUAACAUACAAAUGCAUGUAUCAUAAGAAAUAUCUCACCAAUACAAUGGGCAAUUAGCUUGUUGGUCUAGAAUAUAUAUAAGAAAAUAUUAAAUUUACUUGGCGGCUCAAUAGAAACCGCCAAGAAAAUGAAUUAUUUUCUUGGCGGCUCAUUAAAGAAUGGCCAAGGAAAUACCUUGUUUACUUGGCAGCUGAUGACAACAGCCAAGUAAAUGCAUGCUUUUCUUGGCGAUUCCUAAAAACAGCCAAGGAAACCCAUCCUUUUCUUGGCGGUUCG